rnacentral:misc_RNA from 1 species
GCCUCUCGCUACAUUUUUGCUUCUUUUUUUAUUUUUGGAGAGAGAUAGAGAGAGAAACGGGGAGAGAGGAAGGGAGAAGCUCGAGAUCCUGUCAGAUCGGACCGGAAUUUGUGAUGGGACUAGAACUUGCAGAUGAGGAAAUGGAUAGGAAGCCAAAUGGUGCCGUAGUGAAGUCAAAUGGUGUCUCUCAUGAUAAAGUUAAUGCUCUUCCUAAAACUUCAGGACAUAGUGUGGAAGCAAAGGACUAUGAGGAGAAGGAAUGCACUGCAGAAGAUUCAGUUAUUCAGAACCAUAACCAGAAACAAGAUGUGCUUGGCAUAAAAAACACGAAUUUUAACCCUGACCAGGCUGAGGGUAAAAAUGAAAAACCUGGAGCUCUGAAGUCGAACGAUGAUAAAAAUUCCAGUUUUCCUGCUUCAAAAUCUGGUGGAGCGAGAUAUGCACAGGGACAGCAUACUAUCCCCCAGCCAUUUGCUCUGGCAACUGAAAAACGUGCGGGUGUGAACACUUCAAAGAAUGGGAAUAAUUUGAGUUCCCCUAUUGCUACAAAGAACUCACAGGUAAUUAAAGUUCUCAACAGCUUUUGUGGUAAAUCAAAUGCUGUCAUCUUGCUUUCUAUUUUUUGCUCAAGGAUUGCUGAUCUGAUAUUAUUAACUUGAGGCGAGCCAUGACCUGAACUCAAAUUGAUCUGUUUGAGAUUUGAUUAAGAUCACUAUAACUACAUAAGUGGACUUUGGGAUUGGGUGAUAAACUAUACAUGCUAGCAUCAGCGAUCAAUUUAGAGGUUUCCAACUUACAUUGUUUGGUAGAGAUCAAGAACAAGAAAAUUGAAAGUUUUCUGAAAUUAUAACUUUAGUAACCAUGUGAUGUUUCCAAAUGAAAAAUAACAUGCUGUUUCUUGUUAUCUCUUUUUGUAAAUUUCUUAUAUUUAAUUUAGAACCUGUUUUGGAUGAAUUUUUUCUUUUUCAGAUAUUUGGAACAUAGUGUUUAAAGAUACAAGUGAGACUGUUUUCUUAUCAAUGCAACUGCCAUUUUUGAGGUUUUUCUCCCCCAUUUUUUCUGGUGGUUUGGAUUUAUUAUUUUACGAGUAUGUGUGUUAGUGGUUAUUCAAUUGUUUUGGGCUAGUCAUUGACUUGGAGAACUUUGUUUAGAAAUUUAGGGGAUAAUAUGUUUGAAACUUCACACAAUUGUUUGAUGUUGGAUUGAAUUCAACCUAGACUCUUAUCUUUAUAUAAUAGUAUGACUUUACUGCCUUGGUGUGCCUCAAUUUGUAACUAUAACCAUAUAACAUAAUUUGCAUUGGCCACUGAAGUUUGUAUGGGAUGAAGCGUAGCUUUAAUUCAGAAAGCUUAAUGGAAUAAUGAAUUUUGUUCCUCCAUGAAUUAGUGAUAUUAUGUAUUUAUAUUUAUAUCUGGAUAUAGCACUGAUCUUAAAAUUAUGCCACUUCUGUCAGCCUAAUUCACCUUCUACAGCAAGGAAGCCAUUGAACCCUGAUAAUAAGAAGCUUCCUGAUGAAGAAGAUAAUUGUUCUGUUGCGUCCUCAUAUCCUUUUCUGGUUUUAGCAAUUUACAUUUUGAGUUUGGGGGAGAGAGAAAAAGAAAGGCUUUCUUUAAAACUUUGGUUCACGUAAACUCUGGCUUUGUUAUUUUUGGAUAAGUAGUCCUUAGCUAUGUGUAGUACAGCUGCAUCAGUGAGAACUGUUAAAUCUAUAACCAUUGGAACAGCUCCUACCUUUAGAUCUACCGAACGUGCAGAGAAAAGAAAGGAGGUAUUUAUUGAUCAAAUGCCUAUGUGGAUCAUGUUCCUUGAACUUUUUCCUUCAUUGACACAUUUGUAUUGAAUCCCAUAAGUUAAUUAUCUUUGUUGUUGUCAACCAGUUCUAUGCAAAACUAGAGGAAAAACACAGGGCUUUGGAAGCAGAGCGAAACCAGGCCGAGGCAAGGUCCAAGGUAGAUUACCUCCUAAUCUUUAUAUGAUGUGUAAGUGCACGCUUAAACUUUUCUCCUUUAUUUUAGGAAGAGCAUCAAGCAGCCAUCAAGCAGCUUAGAAAGAGCAUGGUGAUUAAAGCAAAACCUGUUCCUAGUUUCUACUAUGAGCCACCUCCACCUAAGGUUGAACUCAAGAAGGUAUUCUGAUCAGGACUUUUCUCAGUUCAGUGUGAAUUCUUAAAGAUUGAAGAUGCAUAUGAAGCAGUUAAAAAAAGCCAUCACUUUGCACAGAUGAAUACUAAGGACCGGAUGUAGGACUCCUGAAAAUUUAAUGAAACUUGCAUAUUUUGAAGUAGGAUUUAUCUGCAGCAGUGAAGUGGAAUAUCUAUUUUCCUCAAAUUAACUGAAUUUGGACUUUGUUUGAGCUUGCAAUUGUUUUGUCUUGGUAGCUAUGACAAAAAGGCUAUCAAUAAUGGGAUAUAAUUUGAUCAAAUUUAGGGAAAAAUUUUUAAGCUCGAGUCUGUUAGAUUUCAAAAAAUUUUUUUUGGAGCCCUCACUUACAAGCUCAAGCUUUUAGGUUGAGCAGUUCUUUUUAUAAAAUUAACUGUCUUUCCCCUUCAAAAUAGUAGAUAGAUUAAUAAAUUAAUGAAUAAUAGCUGUCAGCUGUAGUGUAUCUGUCUCCUAAUUUAGAACUGUUAACAAAACUUAACAUGGUUGUUAGUUUAGUCCUAGUAUGAUUGUACCAUUGAUUAUAGUAUAGAUGCACAGCCUUAAAUUCUGCCUGCAGCUUUUGUCAGAUGAUGAUAUAUUUUGAGAAUAUUUAUUGGUUGCCAGCUGCCAUUGACUCGACCGGUGUCACCAAAACUAAACCGGAGAAAGAGCUGCAGUGAUGCAAUUCAGUCAUCUAAAGAUGACGUGGGGAAACAUUGUGCUCGGCACAGCAUGGGUAACCACAAAGAAGAUUUGAAUAUCGCUGCCACAGCCAAAACUAAGGUUCAGAACAGUGCACAGAACAUUAACGGCACUCGCAAGGCCAAGGACAGAUCUAAACAGGAGCAUGUUACAGCAAAAGUUGUUCCUGACAAGAUAAUUGAGGAGACAAAAGAAGACAUCACGGUUGAGUCAUAAACAGCUGGUUUUUACGAACUCUUUUAAGCGAGGGAAACACCUUGAAUUCCCUUAUUUGAUAUUUUGAGAGGGAAUAGCCUACUUCUUUUUCCAUUGCGAUGACUUCUUUAAGUAAUCUGUGUCAAUGUGAAUUGUAUAUGUUUUGUAAGUUAUAUAAUCGCAUAUCAUGUUAUAUAUAAAAAGAGUUGAUGAUUCUAUUUUGGACCAAAUUUGUUGUUUCACCUGGUGUAGGUGUUUGCUGUCUUAGUUCUUUGAAACCAUGAUGAGUAGCUGAUCUUUUAAAGAGUUUAUUUUGACAUGGUUUGAUUUCGAGGUUGCUGAGGUUGUAGCUUCACAAUUUUCACCAAUUUUGUUUAUGAGGAUGUAAUUGAUAGGGUUCCUGUGAACACUUUCUUAUUUUUAUGUUCCCU